rnacentral:rRNA from 1 species
AGUGAACGCUGGCGGUAGGCCUAACACAUGCAAGUCGAACGGCAGCACAGUAAGAGCUUGCUCUUACGGGUGGCGAGUGGCGGACGGGUGAGGAAUACAUCGGAAUCUACUUUUUCGUGGGGGAUAACGUAGGGAAACUUACGCUAAUACCGCAUACGACCUACGGGUGAAAGCAGGGGAUCUUCGGACCUUGCGCGAUUGAAUGAGCCGAUGUCGGAUUAGCUAGUUGGCGGGGUAAAGGCCCACCAAGGCGACGAUCCGUAGCUGGUCUGGGAGGAUGAUCAGCCACACUGGAACGGGGCCACGGUCCAGACUCCUACGGGAGGCAGCAGUGGGGAAUAUUGGACAAUGGGCGCAAGCCUGAUCCAGCCAUACCGCGUGGGUGAAGAAGGCCUUCGGGUUGUAAAGCCCUUUUGUUGGGAAAGAAAAGCAGCAGGUUAAUACCCCGCUGUUCUGACGGUACCCAAAGAAUAAGCACCGGCUAACUUCGUG